GAGCAAUUCCUACUUCACAGAGCGCUGGAGAAGAUGAAGGGCGUUCAUUUCACGUAGCCGACUUCCAGCAGUGCUGGGCAUAAGGGAACAUUCAAUAUAGAUGAAGAACCGGAGGCUAGAGACAAGUCACUCGCCCAAGUCUGCCAGCCAGCCCGUGGUGAAUGAUGCCAGAAUUGGGACCCAAGCCCAACUAGGGAAAUGAUGUUACACGAAAAGCAAAUUCGAGCGAUUUUCUUAUUCGAGUUCAAAAUGGGUCAUAAAGCAGCAGAGACAACUCACAACAACAACAACGCAUUUGACCCAGGAACUGCUAAUAAAUGUAUGGUGCAGUGGUGGUUCAAGAAGUUUC